AAGAGUAGUGAUAUGGUGGCGGUGGUAAUUUCUUUGGUGGUGGUGGAGAAGAGUAGUGAUAUGGCGGAGGAGGUGACUUCUUGGGCGGUGGUGGUGAGGAAUAGUAAUAUGGUGGAGGAGGAGAGUUAACUGGUGGUGGUGGGGAACUAUACUGAUAUGGGAGAGGAGGUGAUUUCUUAGGAGGUGGUGGCGAGGAAUUAUAAUAUGGUGCAGGAGGAGACUUAACUGGUGGUGGUGGGGAAGUAUAGUGAUAUGAUGGCGGAGGUGAUUUCUUUGGUGGUGGUGGUG
rnacentral:lncRNA from 1 species